rnacentral:rRNA from 1 species
AUGCCCGCCGCCGUACCACGCGCACGCGCCUACAUCCACAUACCCACGCGAGUGAGCCGGGCCAAGCAGUGGCCCGCCGCCGCAGCACGCCGCUCCAUCCCCAUCCCCAAAUCCACGCCAGUCACGACGGCGACGGAGUGGCCCGCCGCCGCAGUCCGCGCCUCCAUCCCCAGGCCCACGCGAUCGAGGAGGGCGACGGAGUGGCUCUCCGGCGCAGCACGCGCCUCCGUCCCCAGAUGGUAUCGUGUUCAAACCAUUCCUGGACCCUCCCGAUUGUAUCCUCCUCAGCGCUUCGACAUAAGACGCCAUGGCAUUGACAGUGGCCGUGGCGCGGGGGUCAAACUGCUGGGGUGCCGCCACGGUCGCCUCCUCCUCAUGCCCUGGCAGCAACGGGCAGAGCUUAUUGUAAUUGCUCCCUUCACCGGCAAGAAGUUCUGCCUGACCGUUCCGUCCAAGUUAACGGGGGACUGCUACCUUGAUGGGGCGGUGCUCUGCGCUGCUGCUGACCAUGGCCACGUGCACGGAAGCUGCCACUCAAGCCCAUUCAAGGUGGUCUUGCUGUCGACGAGCGCCUACCGUAGUGGUCCACAGCCCGCCUUUGCAUGCGUUUACUCCUCGGAGACUGGCAUAUGGAGCGAUCUCAUCUCCACGCCCACUCCAUAUCAGCUUCAUGGCGCUUAUAUUCAUGCGUCACUUGUUGGUAAUUCACUUUACUGGAUGUGCGACGAUUACAUUUUUCAGUUUGAUUUGGAUGGUCAAAGCCUAGCUUUGAUCAGAGCGCCUCCCAGAAUAAAUGAUGUCCGCCACAGGUAUGACCAACGUGAGAUCAUCCAGGUGGUGGAUGGCGUUGUUGGUUUUGCCAUAUUGUGUCGCUAUUACCAUAACAUUCAAAUGUGGCAAAGGGAGGUCGAUUGUCAUGGUGUUACCAAGUGGGUGUUGUGGAAAACAGUUGAAAUGAAUAACAUUCAUGGGAUCCCUCAUGGGAAUGAAGGAGAGAUACCAGACUUGAUAUUCAGACUGAGAUAUGCUGAGGAUACCGAUGAUAUAUUUAUAUAUGUGGGCAGCAGUAUCUAUAUGGUUCAACUUAAGUCGAUGCAAUCUAGCAAACUUUGUGAAACCGGUUAUAUUAUGUGCCAACAUUCUUUAAAGAGUUUCUAUAUGCCAGGUGAUUGUUCUUCAUUAGUACUAAUAUCGUAG